rnacentral:rRNA from 1 species
UACAGAGGUCUCAAGCGUUGUUCGGAUUCAUUGGGCGUAAAGGGUGUGUAGGUGGCGCGCUAAGUCGGGUGUGAAAUUUCGGAGCUUAACUCCGAAACUGCAUUCGAUACUGGCGUGCUUGAGGACUGGAGAGGAGACUGGAAUUCAUGGUGUAGCAGUGAAAUGCGUAGAUAUCUGGAGGAACACCGGUGGCGAAGGCGGCAUCCUGGACCGACACUGACGCUGAGGAGCGAAAGCCAGGGGAGCAAACGGG